rnacentral:lncRNA from 1 species
AGAACAGAGCGGAGGAGCAUGUGCCGCUCUUGUUCCGUUGCCGGCAAAUAGCAAAGCAAAUCUGUCUUUAUUUCCUGUCAAUUGCAAAGCCAAAUUUCCAUGCCUUUGCAAUUUAUAUGAAAGGUCUUAAUACAUUUUUUUUUGUUAAUUCUUUAUGUUGUUUUUGUUUGUUUGCUUUUGAAUUCUGGAGGCCGAUCCAAUGGGUUCUUAUUUUCUUAUAAGAGCUCAAUUUCACCCGGCCAAGAGUUGAUUCAUUGGGGCAGCCUCAAGGUUUUACAUGUUUCUUUUUCACUCAUGUUUUAAUUCAGAGAAACUGCCCUAAAUUUCUUUCUUUCUUUCUUUAUUUUCCUUUUAGUGAUUGCUUAUGAUCAUUAGACGUUACUUUUGAAUUUAUUGGUUUUCUGGGUCAGAUUCCAAUUUCUCUAUUGCAACAAUUUGGGUUUGUUUUCUUGGAGAUGCAUAAGCCAAUUGUUAGCUUACACAGGAGGAGUUGGAUUGUUUUAGCUGAGAUGCAUUAGCUAAGUUCCCAUUGAAGAGUAUUAGAAGUUGAGCUCGGAUAAAAUAUAGAUCAUAAUUAUCGUUACUCAUUUUCAUAUUCUCUUAGUAUCACUCAAAAGUAUUUACUUUUUAUUAUAAAGUCUAUAAAAAUUCAUUUAUAAAAAAAUUAAUUUUUCUGGUUAAUAUUAUUAUUUCAACUAAUUUUUACUAAAACAAUCUUUAUAUAAUAUUUUAGUUUCAUUUUGGAAAAUAAAGAAUCCAUUACUGAGAAUCAAAAUGGACACUCACCUACGAGGAGGUUUGCUAAGCCACUCGCACUGGCCAGACAUAGAAACAGCCGCCCUCGCCAAACAAUGAGCAGUUUUCACAAACACCAGAUGUGCAUGACUAAGCUCUUGAAAAAAGAAAUUUGCAGUCAUCCAAAACAAGACCAAAAUCUGAAAAAUCAAUAUAAGAUCCAAAGAAACCAUUCACUGAUGAUUGACAAUCAGACUCAAAUCCCACAGAAUCAAAACCCAACUAAGAGUUUCUCUAAAACUCAUUACUUUCGCCAAUGCAGGAUUUGAGGGACCAGCAAAUAUACCAUUUUUAGCAGCCACAAAUUGACCAUUGGAGUCCCGAAUGAUAGAACCAAAGCUCAACAGUCGUUGUUGACGAGCAAAUACCGCAGCAUUAAAGUUGCAUUUGUACCAACCCAACGCUGGUUUAGUCCAACGUUUGCUUAUUAGCUACGUUGGCAAGCUGUUAUUGAGACACAAGAGAGUCACCCGAGCUUAUAACGCGUUGAAUGGUAAAAAAUCUCUGCUGCCAAACAAUUUGAUUUCAAUUGUUCCACAAGUUCCAAUUACACACUGUUCUGGAGACAUAUUAGCAAAGACUAAACUUAACCAUUUUCCCACAUUAAUCAAACUACUACAAAUAAAGCCCACACCAGAAAGCUGCCAAGCGUAAAGAACAAGUAACAGCCACAUGAAAAGUAGUUUCAUUGCAAAGACCACAAAACUUGGCAAACAACAUCCACUUCUAUCUUCCUCUUUAUAAGGUUGUCUUCUUAUCGGUAAACAGUCUCUAACAACUCGCCAUAAGAAACUCUUUAUCUUCGGAGGGACCUUCAUGGACCAAAGCUGCUUCCAGCUACAUGCAACCACAUUUGAACCCAUAUGAACCUGUUGAUUAGAAAGGCACUCAUGCCCACUCUUGACUGUAUAUCGACCUUUUUUUGUCAUGUCUCCAAACUCUGUCUUCAGUUCUCCUAUAACUUAGAGGUAGAGAUAAAAUAAGUUCUCUAUCACACUCAUCAAAGAGAUGCCCGACUAACUCUGAAUCCCAUUGAUAUUAACAUUUGCAUUAUCUCGAUCAGUCGUUACAUAGGCAUUAUUAGAAUCUGGCAGCCAAGAAUCUGCCCAAACUGAAAUCUUCUAACCAUCUGUUGAGUUGAUAUAACACUACGCCAUAUGAAGCUUGGGCUAUGACCCAAAGUGGCUUCUAAAACAAUAGUAGUUGGGAAAUAACGAGCCUUAUAGACUCGGGACAUAAGAAUAUAUGGCUCAUUAAGCAUUCUCCAAAUUUGUUUACCAAGGAAAGCAAUACUCACCUCGUGUAAGGUUCUGAAGCCCAGUCCUCCACAAGCUUUCUUCUCGCAGAGUCUUUGCGAACCCAACCAAGUUCCCCACUAGAAUGAGUUAAACAUCUUCUCAAUAUCUUUACACAACUCAAUAGUAAGUAAACAUAUGUUUAUAGCAUAAUUGGGAAUGGAUUGUGCAAGUCUUGAGAAGAAUCUCUUUGCUAGCUCUCAAGAGAAACCUUUUAUUCUAACUUUGCAUUCGCUUCCAAAUUUUAUCCUUAAUAGAUGAGGACAACGCAUUCUUCUUACGACCCACAAGCGACGGCAAAUCCAAGCAGUUGUGGUGCUCUUUUGUUUUCGGAACACCUAAAAUGCCACAAACACGUUCUCUAAAAUAAUUGAAAGUAGAUGUCUAAUGGAAGCUGCACUUUUUGCAACUUUACACCCAUGAAUGAUACUCCUCGCCUCCUGCCUUUUAAGAGUUGUCGAGAGCCCCUCCACACACAAGAUAAAGAGGUACGGUGAGAGCAGGCAACCUUGGCGCAAUCCUCUUUAAGGAAUAAUCGGACCCAAGAACCCUUGAUUAUGUAGAACAUGGUAUCUUACUGUUGAAAUAUACAUCCUGAUUAACUUCACCCAUUUUCCAUCAAAACCUAACUUUAACAUAAUAUUCUUUAGGAAAUGCCAUUCCACACGAUCAUAGGCUUUAGAGAUGUCAAUUUUUAAAGCCACCAGCCCUUCUUUCCCUUGCCUUUUCCUUUAAAGACCAUGCAUGACUUCAUAGGCCACCAUAAGUUUAUCGGAAAUCAUACGACCCGAGAGAAAAGCACUUUGGGAAUCUGAAAUCAAAUAGGGAAGAAUUCUCUUUAAACGAUUAACAAGCAUUUUAGAAAGAAUUUUAUAGAGCAUUACACAAUGAAAUUGGACAUAAAUCACCCAUUGUCUCAAUCCUUUUCUUCUUGAGAAUUAGCAUAAUUAAAAGUAUCAUUCAAGCCUUCCGCGAUAGAACAAUUCUGAACCAUUUGAAGAAUAGCCUUAGAAACAUUGUGUCCCACGAACCUCUAAUAAAAAGCUGGAUUCAUAGCAUCCAUACUGGAGAUUUUAUCAGAGUGCAUAUCAAAAGAACAUCCUUAACAUCAUUUGUCGAAAAUGGAGCAAGAAGCACCUGAUUAUGGUCAUCGGUUUACCACUUUCGUAACAUUAGGAGUAAUAUAGUCAGGAUUAAUCCCUUGAGUAGUAACAAUAUCUUGAAAAUACUCUAAAAUUAUAGUACCCAGACCACUAUCCUU